UUUGGUGGCGAUAGCGAAGAGGUCACACCCGUUCCCAUACCGAACACGGAAGUUAAGCUCUUCAGCGCCGAUGGUAGUCGGGGGUU
rnacentral:rRNA from 1 species